rnacentral:rRNA from 1 species
AUUGAACGCUGGCGGCAGGCCUAACACAUGCAAGUCGAACGAGUGGCGGACGGGUGAGUAAUGUCUGGGCACCUGCCUGAUGGAUGGCGAUAACUACUGGUAACGGUAGCUACUACCGCAUGCCAUCAGCUGUGCCCAGAUGGGAUUAGCUAGUGGGGGGGGUAACGGCCCACCAAGGCGACGAUCCCUAGCUGGUCUGCGAGGAUGAUCAGCAACACUGGAACUGAGACACGGUCCAUACUCCUACGGGAGGCAGCAGUGGGGAAUAUUGCACAAUGGGCGCAAGCCUGAUGCAGCCAUGCCGCGUGUAUGAAGAAGGCCUUCGGGUUGUAAAGUACUUUCAGCGGGGAGGCGUUACCCGCAGAAGAAGCACCGGCUAACUCCGUGCCAGCAGCCGCGGUAAUAC